AGAGUUUGAUCAUGGCUCAGAUUGAACGCUGGCGGCAGGCUUAACACAUGCAAGUCGAGCGGUAACAGUCCUUCGGGAGCUGACGAGCGGCGGACGGGUGAGUAAUGCAUAGGAAUCUGCCUGUUAGAGGGGGAUAGCCCGGGGAAACUCGGAUUAAUACCGCAUACGCCCUACGGGGGAAAGCAGGGGAUCUUCGGACCUUGCGCUAACAGAUGAGCCUAUGUCGGAUUAGCUAGUUGGUAGGGUAAGAGCCUACCAAGGCGACGAUCCGUAACUGGUCUGAGAGGAUGAUCAGUCACACUGGAACUGAGACACGGUCCAGACUCCUACGGGAGGCAGCAGUGGGGAAUAUUGGACAAUGGGGGCAACCCUGAUCCAGCCAUGCCGCGUGUGUGAAGAAGGCCUUCGGGUUGUAAAGCACUUUCAGUGGGGAGGAAAGGGCAGUUGCUAAUAUCAGCUGCAGUUGACGUUACCCACAGAAGAAGCACCGGCAAACUCCGUGCCAGCAGCCGCGGUAAUACGGAGGGUGCGAGCGUUAAUCGGAAUUACUGGGCGUAAAGCGCGCGUAGGCGGUUGCUUAAGCUAGAUGUGAAAUCCCCGGGCUCAACCUGGGAACUGCAUUUAGAACUGGGCGACUAGAGUUUUGGAGAGGAGGGUAGAAUUCCAGGUGUAGCGGUGAAAUGCGUAGAGAUCUGGAGGAAUACCAGUGGCGAAGGCGGCCCUCUGGCCAAAAACUGACGCUGAGGUGCGAAAGCGUGGGGAGCAAACAGGAUUAGAUACCCUAGUAGUCC
rnacentral:rRNA from 1 species